UACGUAGGGUGCAAGCGUUGUCCGGAAUUAUUGGGCGUAAAGAGCUCGUAGGCGGUUUGUUGCGUCGGCUGUGAAAUCCCGAGGCUCAACCUCGGGUCUGCAGUCGAUACGAGCAAACUAGAGUGUUGCAGGGGAGACUGGAAUUCCUGGUGUAGCGGUGAAAUGCGCAGAUAUCAGGAGGAACACCGGUGGCGAAGGCGGGUCUCCUGGGCAACAACUGACGCUGGAGGAGCGAAAGCGUGGGGAGCGAACAGG
rnacentral:rRNA from 1 species